UUAUGUACAUGAACAAAUAUAUCAUUGUGGAAACUACAAAUAUUUGAGGACAUUCUCCAAUCAUUACAAGACAAGCACUUGUGGACGCAUAGUAUUUUAUAUCGAUUCCUCUAACCACUUAUGUGCAUUCUUGAAAGUCUUGUUCUUUGUUUAUUGUUUUUGGUAGAUGAAAGUCUUGGUCUUCCUAGCUUUUAUAGUUUUCUCUCUCCCUUAUCUCUUUAUCACUUAGAUUCACCACACCCAUGCCUGUCCUCCUGCUCAAUAGUGUUCUCCUGCUGCUCGUCUGAACCUAGCGCUCGUGCUUGCUGGAUUGCUGCCAUUGAUCUCAUCCUGUUCAACGGUCUUCUCCAGGAAGUCUACUUGGAAAAGGUAAGAGACAUCUAUCUUCUUGCUCUAUUUUUCCCUCAAACUGAUGCAGCCGCAACUUUCUGAAAUCUUUCUAUUAUGGAGGCAAAGAAGAGGCAACGAAGCAGCAGAAGUUUGGUUCUUAAACCGAUUUCAUGCCUAUCUAUGAUCCUAAUUAAAGUUGAUGUCAAGUUUAAUAACAAAGAAUUGUUGCCUCAAUUUUUGUUAGAUAGUAAUAUUAGGACAUUAAGAUUAAUUUUUAAUCUCCUUAUCAAUGAUCUCUUUACUAAACACGCACUGACGUGGAAUGAUUCUACUAAGUACAAGUUUGGGAUUUUACAUGAAAUAAUCACAUAUCUGUUUGGAAUUUAGUCCAUUAAAUUGGAUAAACAACAAUAAAUAUCGUAAGAGGAUAGCUUCAUUCCUCUUAGAAGAGAUUCACAGGAAAUUCACGUUUACUAUAAUUUCGUGGUGCCAAACAAAAUAAAUAACUUUUGUUGUGUCUUUUCAAAUAUUUACUGUUAUAAUAAGAAGUCCUUGUUAUAUAGAUAUAGUAGAUUUACCAUCAACCGAAAGGGGUAAGGUGAAUUAAUAAGGUGCUUGUGAUUUAGUAUUCUUUUAAGGUGUGCCAGUGUAAUCAAUCGAGUUAAGUCAAUUUGCAAAUUAAACUUCACAUGAAGUAGUUUCUACCGAAGCCCCAAGGGUGUUGCAUGUGGAUGACUUGUUUUCAUCGUGUGAAAACCAAUGAUAGUUUAGUGCUGGAAAACUUAUCCAUGUAUUUUCUUUCAAGAUAGAGAAAAAUGUGAAGGUGGUCGUGAUAAGAAAAAAUAAAUUUUGAAUUAUGGAAAUUAUAAUUGUGCUUCGUUAGAAAAAGACCACGUGAUGACUCAGUGUUUUGUUAGAGAAAAUGGUAUUCUAUGUUGGAAAUUUUUUUGAGAUUGUUCAUCUUUUAUAAUGCGCAUUAAUCUGGUAUUAAACAGACUUUGCAUAUUUUUCAACCCUAAAAAGCCCAACUUGUCAUUUUAUAUUGUACACUCCUAAAAGUGAUUUACUUUCUCAUAUUUGUUGACUCCCCCUCUUGAGUUCUAAUUGAUGCUAAAGAAUCUUUAGUCGGUCAAUUUUAAUUUUAAUUUUUGAAGGCGUCAAAAAAAUUUAUGAUAUAUAAUCAAUUGGUGGGGUUGUGAAGCCAAGAACACAUCACUCCAUGGAUUUAAGCUCUCUCUCUCUCUCUAAGUUAUGAUAUAUAAUCAAUUGGUGGGGCUAUGAAGCCAAGAACACAUCACCCCAUGGAUUUAAGCUGUCUCUCUGUCUCUAUCUAUAUUAUAUACAUGUAUAUAAUAUAUAUGAUAUCUUUUCCCUAUGAGCCCAGGAG
rnacentral:lncRNA from 1 species